CAAUAGCGUAUAUUUAAGUUGCUGCAGUUAAAAAGCUCGUAGUUGGAUUUCGGGUGGGAAUGGCCGGUCCGCCGUUUCGGUGUGCACUUGCUACGCCCACCUUGCUGCCGGGGACGUGCUCUUGAGUUCACGCUCGGGACACGGAGUCGGCGAGGUUACUUUGAGUAAAUUAGAGUGUUCAAAGCAGGCCUACGCUCUGAAUACAUUAGCAUGGAAUAACACGAUAGGACUCUGGCCUAUCUUGUUGGUCUGUAGGACCGGAGUAAUGAUUAAGAGGGACAGUCGGGGGCAUUCGUAUUUCAUUGUCAGAGGUGAAAUUCUUGGAUUUAUGAAAGACGAACUACUGCGAAAGCAUUUGCCAAGGAUGUUUUCAUCAA
rnacentral:rRNA from 1 species